AUCCGACUGACGAGUCACAAAUACGACGAAAUGCACAUUCUGGAU
rnacentral:hammerhead_ribozyme from 1 species